rnacentral:rRNA from 1 species
GACGAACGCUGGCGGCGUGCUUAACACAUGCAAGUCGAACGGAAAGGCCCUGCUUUUGUGGGGUGCUCGAGUGGCGAACGGGUGAGUAACACGUGAGUAACCUGCCCUUGACUUUGGGAUAACUUCAGGAAACUGGGGCUAAUACCGGAUAGGAGCUCCUGCUGCAUGGUGGGGGUUGGAAAGUUUCGGCGGUUGGGGAUGGACUCGCGGCUUAUCAGCUUGUUGGUGGGGUAGUGGCUUACCAAGGCUUUGACGGGUAGCCGGCCUGAGAGGGUGACCGGCACAAUGGGGCUGGGGAAAGGGCCCGAAUCCCAAGGGGGGCAACAGGGGGGAAAAUUGCCCAAAGGGGCGGAGCCGGGAGCGGGAAACGCCGGUGGGGGAAGGCGGGCUUUGGGGGUGUAAACCGUUUUCGCGUGGGAAGAGGGGUGGGUAGGGGAAAGGGUAAAAAAAGCACGGGUAAAUUAGGG